rnacentral:rRNA from 1 species
GACGAACGCUGGCGGCGUGCUUAACACAUGCAAGUCGAACGGAAAGGCCCUGCUUUUGUGGGGUGCUCGAGUGGCGAACGGGUGAGUAACACGUGAGUAACCUGCCCUUGACUUUGGGAUAACUUCAGGAAACUGGGGCUAAUACCGGAUAGGAGCUCCUGCUGCAUGGUGGGGGUUGGAAAGUUUCGGCGGUUGGGGAUGGACUCGCGGCUUAUCAGCUUGUUGGUGGGGUAGUGGCUUACCAAGGCUUUGACGGGUAGCCGGCCUGAGAGGGUGACCGGACACAUUGGGACUGAGAUGCGGCCCAGACUCCUACGGGAGGCAGCAGUGGGGAAUAUUGCACAAUGGGCGGAAGCCUGAUGCAGCAACGCCGCGUGCGGGAUGACGGCCUUCGGGUUGUAAACCGCUUUCGCCUGUGACGAAGCGUGAGUGACGGUAAUGGGUAAAGAAGCACCGGCUAACUACGUG